UACGUAGGGGGCGAGCGUUGCCCGGAUUCAUUGGGCGUAAAGGGCGCGUAGGCGGCCCGCUGCGUCCCGCGUGAAAUCGCCCGGCUCAACUGGGCGGGGUCGCGGGAUACGAGCGGGCUCAGCUCGUAGGGGGCGGCAUGGAAUUCCCGGUGUAGUGGUGGAAUGCGUAGAGAUCGGGAGGAACACCCCGUGGCGAAGGCGGUGGCCUGGACCGAUGCUGACGCUGAGGCGCGAAAGCGUGGGGAGCGAUCCGG
rnacentral:rRNA from 1 species